UACGAAGGGGGCUAGCGUUGCUCGGAAUCACUGGGCGUAAAGCGCAUGCAGGCGGAUCGAUAAGUCGGGGGUGAAAUCCCGAGGCUCAACCUCGGAACUGCCUUCGAUACUGCCGAUCUGGAGUCCGGGAGAGGUGAGUGGAACUGCGAGUGUAGAGGUGAAAUUCGUAGAUAUUCGCAAGAACACCAGUGGCGAAGGCGGCUCACUGGCCCGGUACUGACGCUGAGAUGCGAAAGCGUGGGGAGCAAACAGG
rnacentral:rRNA from 1 species